UGGGGAAUAUUGCACAAUGGGCGCAAGCCUGAUGCAGCCAUGCCGCGUGUAUGAAGAAGGCCUUCGGGUUGUAAAGUACUUUCAGCGGGGAGGAAGGUGUUGAGGUUAAUAACCUCAGCAAUUGACGUUACCCGCAGAAGAAGCACCGGCUAACUCCGUACCAGCAGCCGCGGUAAUACGGAGGGUGCAAGCGUUAAUCGGAAUUACUGGGCGUAAAGCGCACGCAGGCGGUCUGUCAAGUCGGAUGUGAAAUCCCCGGGCUCAACCUGGGAACUGCAUUCGAAACUGGCAGGCUAGAAUCUUGUAGAGGGGGGUAGAAUUCCAGGUGUAGCGGUGAAAUGCGUAGAGAUCUGGAGGAAUACCGGUGGCGAAGGCGGCCCCCUGGACAAAGACUGACGCUCAGGUGCGAAAGCGUGGGGAGCAAACA
rnacentral:rRNA from 1 species